GAUGAACGCUAGCUACAGGCUUAACACAUGCAAGUCGAGGGGAAACGACAUCGAAAGCUUGCUUUUGGUGGGCGUCGACCGGCGCACGGGUGAGUAACGCGUAUCCAACCUGCCCACCACUUGGGGAUAACCUUGCGAAAGUAAGACUAAUACCCAAUGAUAUCCCACGAAGGCAUCCGAAUGGGAUUAAAGAUUUAUCGGUGAUGGAUGGGGAUGCGUCUGAUUAGCUUGUUGGCGGGUAACGGCCCACCAAGGCUACGAUCAGUAGGGGUUCUGAGAGGAAGGUCCCCUACAUUGGAACUGAGACACGGUCCAAACUCCUACGGGAGGCAGCAGUGGGGAAUCUUCCGCAAUGGACGAAAGUCUGACGGAGCAACGCCGCGUGAACGAUGACGGCC
rnacentral:rRNA from 1 species